rnacentral:rRNA from 1 species
ACCUUGAAAAGGGAGUUAAACAGCACGUGAAAUUGUUGAAAGGGAAGCGCUUGCAGCCAGACUCGGGCGCGGGGGUUCAGCGGGCACGCGUGCCCGUGCACUCCCCCGCGGCCGGGCCAGCAUCGGUUCGGGCGGCCGGUCAAAGGCCCCGGGAAUGUGUCGCCCUCCGGGGCGUCUUAUAGCCCGGGGUGCAAUGCGGCCAGCCUGGACCGAGGAACGCGCUUCGGCUCGGAUGCUGGCGUAAUGGCUGUCAGCGACCCGUCUUGAAACACGGACCAAGGAGUCUAACAUCCACGCGAGUGUUCGGGUGUCAAACCCGUGCGCGCAGUGAAAGCGAACGGAGGUGGGAUCCCCGCAAGGGGCGCACCAUCGACCGAUCCUGAUGUCUUCGGAUGGAUUUGAGUAAGAGCGUGGCUGUUGGGACCCGAAAGAUGGUGAACUAUGCCUGAAUAGGGCGAAGCCAGAGGAAACUCUGGUGG